AUGAACUACAUAAUUUGUGUGGUGGAAAGAAUUUUGUAUGGAAUUGAUCACCUCCUAGAGGUAGAUCUGGAAGUAUUUUGGUGGGUGUUGAUGAUGAUUUGCUGGAUGUGGUACAAGUGCAGAUUGAAGUUUACUUUGUUAGGAUCUUGGUGUUUUGAUAAAAUUGUGAAAUUUCGUUGGAACUUUCUUACUAUAUAUGGAGAUGCUCAAAUUGAUGGAAAAUCUGCCUUUUUAGCAGAACUGUCCAGGGUGUAUCAUGAUAAUCCCCUUCCAUGUUUGGUGAGUGGUAAUCUUAUUAGGAAUAGCUCUGGAAAUAAAUAA
rnacentral:rRNA from 1 species